CUCUCAACAACGGAUAUCUUGGCUCCCGUAACGAUGAAGAACGCAGCGAAAUGCGAUACGUAGUGUGAAUUGCAGAAUUCCGUGAACCAUCGAAUCUUUGAACGCAAAUUGCGCUCGAGGCUUCGGCCAAGAGCAUGUCUGCCUCAGCGUCGGCUACUACC
rnacentral:rRNA from 1 species